rnacentral:rRNA from 1 species
CAGUAGCCACGGUAAUACGAAGGGUGCAAGCGUUACUCGGAAUUACUGGGCGUAAAGCGUGCGUAGGUGGUGGUUUAAGUCCGUUGUGAAAGCCCUGGGCUCAACCUGGGAAUUGCAGUGGAUACUGGAUCACUAGAGUGUGGUAGAGGAUAGUGGAAUUUCCGGUGUACCAGUGAAAUGCGUAGAGAUCGGAAGGAACAUCUGUGGCGAAGGCGACUAUCUGGGCCAACACUGACACUGAGGCACGAAAGCGUGGGGAGCAAACAGGAUUAGAUACCCCAGUAGUCCCUGUCUCUUAUAA